rnacentral:sRNA from 1 species
CUCUUCCUCUUUCCCUAAGCAGCCUGAGGUAAUCUGUGAAAAUGGUUCGCUAUUCACUUGACCCGGAGAACCCCACGAAAUCAUGCAAAUCAAGAGGUUCCAAUCUUCGUGUUCACUUCAAGGUAUGCGAUUCAUAGUUGUGAUCCAACAGUUCCUCAUGUUCCACUCAAAAAAGGUAGCUGCAGUGAUGACUUUCUUAGGACACCUUUGGAUUUACCGUGAAAAUUAAUAAAUUCUGAGCAGCCACCUUAUAUUUAGGCAUUGAUGAUCAGGGUGUAAGGAUGUAGCGUUUGUACCAGAAAACCAUUUGGAAAUCUAGUGUGCAGAUCAAGAUGGAGCAUUUUAAUUGUAAUUACAUGGUGAUGGAAUUUAAACAUUUUAUAGUGAAUAAAUGGAGUUUUGGAGUUUUCUCUAGCUUCAACGAAGUUUACCUGGCUUUUAGUCACAAGUUUUUUUAAUUGCCUUGCCCCCAAAGAAUAGAAAUAACUCGACAUUUUGAAAAGCUGAAAAUUUAAUGUUUACUUUAAAAAUUAAAGCUU